rnacentral:lncRNA from 1 species
UUCCUUGUUUCAGUUUGAUACGUUGUUGCAUUGAACAAAAUAAAAAGUGACACGGAGAAUGAUUGAUUGACCAAUAAAGCUCGUGAGCAUGGACAUGGUCACCGGUGCUUUGGGCAUGCUCCCCUCCGAGCUGCUAUAGAUACUGUAAUAUUUAUAUUUUAUUUGGCAAUUAGAGUAACUCCAAGAGAAAAGUUAUCCAUGUUGUGUAAUCUAUAUU